AACGAACGCUGGCGGCAUGCCUAACACAUGCAAGUCGAACGAUCCCUUCGGGGCUAGUGGCGCACGGGUGCGUAACGCGUGGGAACCUGCCCUUAGGUUCGGAAUAACUCAGAGAAAUUUGAGCUAAUACCGGAUAAUGUCUUCGGACCAAAGAUUUAUCGCCUUUGGAUGGGCCCGCGUUGGAUUAGCUAGUUGGUGGGGUAAAGGCCUACCAAGGCGACGAUCCAUAGCUGGUCUGAGAGGAUGAUCAGCCACACUGGGACUGAGACACGGCCCAGACCCUGCGGGAGGGAAGAGGGGGGAAAUAGGGAAAAAGGGCAAAAGGCUGAACCAACAAAUGCCGGGGGAGAAAAAAGGCAGUAGGGGUUGAAAAGCUUUUUUCCCGGGGAGAAAAAGAACAGACCGGGAAAAAAAAGCCCGGACAACCUCCGUG
rnacentral:rRNA from 1 species